rnacentral:rRNA from 1 species
UACGGGGGGGGCAAGCGUUGUUCGGAAUUACUGGGCGUAAAGGGCUCGUAGGCGGCCAACUAAGUCGGAUGUGAAAUCCCCAGGCUUAACCUGGGAACUGCAUCCGAUACUGGAUGGCUUGAAUUCGGGAGAGGGAUGCAGAAUUCCAGGUGUAGCGGUGAAAUUCGUAGAUAUCGGGAGGAACACCGGUGGCGAAGGCGGCGGCCUGGGUUGACACUGACGCUGAGGCGCGAAAGCGUGGGGAGCAAACAGG